AGUCUAAGGUAUUUGUCUUAGAUUGAGUCUGCCCACUGUUUUAAUGAAGGGCCGCAGAACUUUAACUGUGCAAAGGUAGCGUGAUCACUUGUCUUUUAAAUGAAGACUGUAUGAACGGCCGCACGUGGCGGAACUGUCUCUUUUGGACUGCCUUGAAUUUUCUAAGUAGGUGAAAAAACCUACAUACAGCAAAAAGACGAGAAGACCCUAAGAGCUUUGACGAAAAAUCUUUAUUAGAUUUGAGUUUUUGUUGGGGCAACAGGGGAACAGAACUUCCCUCUUAGACCUGCUAUCUAGGAUAGAAGGAAAAAGCUACCUUAGGGAUAACAGCAUAAUUUUUUAAAAAGUUUGUGACCUCGAUGUUGGACUAGGUAUAAGAAGGUCUCAGAAGGACCUUUUUAGGCUCUGUUCGAGCAUUUUAACCU
rnacentral:rRNA from 1 species